rnacentral:tRNA from 1 species
GGGGAGAUGGCCGAGCGGUCAAUGGCUGCAGACUGUAAAUCUGCCGGCGGAUGCCUACGGAGGUUCAAAUCCUUCUCUCCCCA